rnacentral:rRNA from 1 species
GACGAACGCUGGCGGCGUGCUUAACACAUGCAAGUCGAACGGAAAGGCCCUGCUUUUGUGGGGUGCUCGAGUGGCGAACGGGUGAGUAACACGUGAGUAACCUGCCCUUGACUUUGGGAUAACUUCAGGAAACUGGGGCUAAUACCGGAUAGGAGCUCCUGCUGCAUGGUGGGGGUUGGAAAGUUUCGGCGGUUGGGGAUGGACUCGCGGCUUAUCAGCUUGUUGGUGGGGUAGUGGCUUACCAAGGCUUUGACGGGUAGCCGGCCUGAGAGGGUGACCGGCCACAUUGGGCCUGCGCUACGGCCCAGACUCCUACGGGAGGCAGCAGUGGGGAAUAUUGCACAAUGGGCGGAAGCCUGAUGCAGCAACGCCGCGUGCGGGAUGACGGCCUUCGGGUUGUAAACCGCUUUCGCCUGUGACGAAGCGUGAGUGACGGUAAUGGGUAAAGAAGCACCGGCUAACUACGUG